CGGGCUUUGCCCCGUCCCCGCCGAGCCGCCGUCGCGCUGCCUGCCCCGCGGGCCGUGCUGCGAAGCAGAAGUGCACCGAACGAGAGGCUGGGCUCCUUCCUCCGGGGGAGGAACGGGGGAAAAUAGGUGCUCGAGAAAGGGACGGUGACGCCGGCGGAGCCGCGCGUCGUGACACAUCGCGGUGGCUGCUCUUAGGGAGCUCGUAAGGCGGCUCGGCUCCAGAGUACAAACGUGUCCCCGACCGGCAGAAUUCGAAACUGAAUCUAACUCUUGUGAAGAUAAGGCAGGAUUUCGUGUCACGGGCAUUGCUUAGAUUCAAUUUAAAUCUCCUGUUCCAGUAAAAAGCCACACACUUCCCCAAACGCUGGAAAAUCCCUCAUUAAAGUCCUUGGCCAAAAGGGAAUUGCAUUUUGUAUACUCUUAGGCAAACAGUGCUGAAAGAAUGCUACUUGGUUUAGGAAUACCAGUAAUCCAAGUCACGUGUGAGUGCCAUGCUGAUUACAAUACCAUUGUAGUGACACAAAGUCAGCUCAUUCAGCCUCUCGCGGUGGCAAACGUCGGCACAGAAUGAUCAGACAAGAGGCGGGUUUUUUUGCCGGUGAGAUUUGUGCGAGAGCUUCGGCAGGUACAGCCGGCUUCAGAGCUAACACAAACCACGUCCUCCGUUCAGAUGCUCGUUUUGUCCUUCCUAAGCCCUUGCAGUAAUACACGGUUUGAAAACGAGCAGUAAGCACCGCAUUUGUGCUGCGAGGUAGCAGCGGGGUCUGCUUUGUAAAAAUAACUUUCAAAAUAGUUAUUUACAUUACAAAAAAAGCUCGCACAGAACGGUCCGUGCGGAUAUUUUUUUGCAAAAUACUAUUCGGAGGCGAUGGCACACAGUUCAGCAGGACCGGGCUCUUCUCAGAAGGGUCGGCUCUCCUCCAGGUGCUGCCUCGUGGAGAAGCUGGCCUGGAGAGACACCCGGCUCUUAGGCUUGUUUACUGAUUAGCUUGGGCACGUCAUUCACCCUCUCAGUGUUGCUGUAUGUACAGACUUCACAGCAUGGAGCUGCUUCUCUAAGCAGGUUUUGAAGAUCGGUCGCUCUUUUGUACAGCGUUUUGUUCAUGCUGUAUUUUGUUCCAAAAGGAAAGGUCUGAAAUCUGUGGGCAUCAGCUGGGAAUCGGUUUGAGACAAAUACUCUCUGCUGAUUAUAGAAGAAAAAAAAAUGUUACUUGAAGCCAACGGGAGUGCUUUUGUACGUUUCAGCUGAGGUUGAUUCAAACUUUACUGAAUUCAUAUGCAAUGAGUAUGACUGUACUUGAUUGUACCUCAGGCUGUAUGAGAUGAGCACAAAGAUGAUACUAACAGAAGAAUGGCAUCCUAUGAAGGGUGUAAAAACCAGUCCAGUUCCACACACAAAAAGGCCUUGCUGAUACUGCACCUUAGGGCACCUUAGUCAGCUUUAUCUGUGCCAAGGGACAAUUCCAUCUCCAGUAGUCAGACUGGAGACGUGAUGCUUUUGGUGAGCCUUAUGUCUGAUAGGUUUGAGCCAACAGCAAACGAAGCCUGCUAAAUGAGAGUGGGAUGCAUAUUGACAGGGGAAAGCUGCUCAGGGUCGUGGCUGCUUUCCUGUUCCGGCAAGAGGUGCCACAAAACUGUUGGAUGACACUGGAUGAAGGGACUGCAGGCUGAAUGUGACCUUUGUAUUUCCUGAAGGAGUUGACUGUACAAGGUGUAAGUCUUUCUACGUGGCAUCUGACUCAACAACAUUAAACUGUGAAGCUGAGUUCUCCAGGACUGCAGCCCUUCUCUGAAGAGGAGGUGUGAGUACUUAUUGCAUGCUUGAAACAAACAGAAACGUCUCUAUGACACUGCUAGUGACUGUUUGCUGGAUCCUGCGGGAUGAUGGACAGCCAGGAGCAAACUCCAUGAACUUGCUGCGUUUCCACGUGCACUACAGCUGCCGCGGCUCCUCGCUGUAGUGGAACCGAUGCCCUUCGUGUUGUUUGUUCUCUCAGUUCUGUCAAGCAGGACGUACGUGGGACCUUAUCAUAUCGUUUUGGCAGGCUCUCCGCCAGUUACUGCUGACAGACACCCGUUUAUCAGCCGCAUCUCUGAGACAAGGCGGCCGGCCGGGCUUUCGAGAGUAAAGAGUCCAAACGGUGCCAGCCUCGUCUGCGCGUUAUAAAUAGAAGUACGGUAUCUGCCGAGCGCUCGACGCACCGCUACGCACG
ensembl:lncRNA